UACGGAGGAUGCAAGCGUUAUCCGGAUUUAUUGGGUUUAAAGGGUGCGCAGGCGGAAUAAUAAGUCAGUGGUGAAAUCCUGCAGCUUAACUGUAGAAUUGCCAUUGAUACUGUUGUUCUUGAGUGUGGUCAAGGUAGGCGGAAUGUGUAAUGUAGCGGUGAAAUGCUUAGAUAUUACACAGAACACCGAUUGCGAAGGCAGCUUACUGGGCCAUUACUGACGCUCAUGCACGAAAGCGUGGGGAUCGAACAGG
rnacentral:rRNA from 1 species